rnacentral:tRNA from 1 species
GUUUUAAUAAUUUAAUAAAAAUAUUGGUCUUGUAAAUCAAAAAUAAGUAAUAAACUUUUAAAAUU